CUUCACUGAUCAAGGUCCACAAAGAUGAUUUCUCCCAGUCUGAUGCUGCUAGCUAUGGGACUCAUGGUCCAAGAAUCAUCAGGAGACAAAAUUCUGACCCAGUCUCCUACUUCAAAGUCUGUCCAGCCUGGAGAAACGGUUUCUAUUAGAUGCACAGCAAGUGAGAGUAUCAGUAACUAUCUCAACUGGUACUCCCAGAAACCUGGAGAAGCUCCUAAACUCCUGAUCUCCUAUGCAACAUCUCGCCAGUCUGGUGUUCCAGGUCGUUUCAGUGGGAGUGGGUCUGAUACACAGUUCACUUUGACCAUUAGCAGAAUCCAGCCUGAAGAUGCUGCAGAUUACUACUGUGGUCAGAGUGCUUACAUUCCGUUCACACAGUGUUAGAGCGCCGUACAAAAACCUCCCUCGGCUGGAGAGGAUCAGAGGCCUCAGCAGACUGAUCUGAGAACAGGUGCAGAGCUGCUACAGAUGACU